rnacentral:rRNA from 1 species
AGUGAACGCUGGCGGUAGGCCUAACACAUGCAAGUCGAACGGCAGCACAGGAGAGCUUGCUCUCUGGGUGGCGAGUGGCGGACGGGUGAGGAAUACAUCGGAAUCUGCCCAGUCGUGGGGAAAAACGAGGGAAACUUAAGGCUACUACGGAUAAGGACCUCCGGCGUAAGGGGGGGGGGGGAAAGACCCCUGGGGAUGGAUGGGUCGGUUGUCGGAUUAGCUAGUUGGCGGGGUAAUGGCCCACCAAGGCGACGAGCCGUGGCUGGUCUGAGAGGAUGAUCAGCCACACUGGAACUGAGACACGGUCCAGACUCCUACGGGAGGCAGCAGUGGGGAAUAUUGGACAAUGGGCGCAAGCCUGAUCCAGCCAUACCGCGUGGGUGAAGAAGGCCUUCGGGUUGUAAAGCCCUUUUGUUGGGAAAGAAAUCUUUCAGGCUAAUACCCUGGGAGGAUGACGGUACCCAAAGAAUAAGCACCGGCUAACUUCGUG